rnacentral:rRNA from 1 species
GAUGAACGCUGGCGGCGUGCUUAACACAUGCAAGUCGAACGAUGAAGCCCAGCUUGCUGGGUGGAUUAGUGGCGAACGGGUGAGUAACACGUGAGUAACCUGCCCUUGACUCUGGGAUAAGCCUGGGAAACUGGGUCUAAUACCGGAUACGACCAUUGCCCGCAUGGGUUGGUGGUGGAAAGCUUUUGUGGUUUUGGAUGGACUCGCGGCCUAUCAGCUUGUUGGUGAGGUAAUGGCUCACCAAGGCGACGACGGGUAGCCGGCCUGAGAGGGUGACCGGCCACAGGGGGAAUGGGACACGGCCCAGACUCCUACGGGGGGCAGGGGGGGGGAAUAUUGCACAAGGGGGGAAAGCCUGAUGCCGCGACGCCGGGGGGGGGAUGACGGCCUUCGGGUUGUAAACCUCUUUCAGGGGGGAAGAAGCGAGAGUGACGGUACCUGAAGAAGAAGCGCCGGCUAACUACGU